GACGAACGCUGGCGGCGUGCUUAACACAUGCAAGUCGAACGGAAAGGCCCGGCUUUGGUGGGGUGCUCGAGUGGCGAACGGGUGAGUAACACGUGAGUAACCUGCCCUUGACUUGGGGAUAACUUCAGGAAGCGGGGGCUAAUACCGGAUAGGAGCUCCUGCUGCAUGGGGGGGGUUGGAAAGUUUCGGCGGUUGGGGAUGGACUCGCGGCUUAUCAGCUUGUUGGUGGGGUAGUGGCUUACCAAGGCUUUGACGGGUAGCCGGCCUGAGAGGGUGACCGGCCACAUUGGGACUGAGAUACGGCCCAGACUCCUACGGGAGGCAGCAGUGGGGAAUAUUGCACAAUGGGCGGAAGCCUGAUGCAGCAACGCCGCGUGCGGGAUGACGGCCUUCGGGUUGUAAACCGCUUUCGCCUGUGACGAAGCGUGAGUGACGGUAAUGGGUAAAGAAGCACCGGCUAACUACGUG
rnacentral:rRNA from 1 species